AGCAGCCGCGGUAAUUCCAGCUCCAAUAGCGUAUAUUAAAGUUGUUGCAGUUAAAAAGCUCGUAGUUGAAUUUCAGGCCUGGCUGGACGGUCCGCCCUUCGGGUGAGUACUGUCUGUGGUCGGGUCCUACCUUCUGGCGAAGCGUCAUGGCCUUAACCGGCCGUGGCGGGGAACCAGGACUUUUACUGUGAAAAAAUUAGAGUGUUCAAAGCAGGCAAUCGCUUGGAUACAUUAGCAUGGAAUAAUGGAAUAGGACAAUGGUUCUAUUUGUUGGUUUCUAGGACCGUUGUAAUGAUUAAUAGGGAUAGUUGGGGGCAUUAGUAUUCAAUUGUCAGAGGUGAGAUUCUUGGAUUUAUUGAAGACUAACUACUGCGAAAGCAUUUGCCAAGGAUGUUUUCAUUAAUCAAGAACGAAAGUUAGGGGAUCGAAGACGAUCAGAUACCGUCGUAGUCUUAACCAUAAACUAUGCCGACUAGGGAUCGGAUGAUGUUAAUUUUUAAUGACUCAUUCGGCGCCUUAA
rnacentral:rRNA from 1 species